CGCUGUAACUGAAAAAAAGUUGUGAAAUUCCAUAGCGUAGUAAAACUUCAAAGCGUGCAGUAAUUAUUAAAUUUAAUUAGUAAAGCUCUUUCUCAACACUCAUGGAAACAUAUUUUAAUUAAAUGGACAUGCACGCGAAUAUUUUUUUAUUUAAACCAAUGUUGUUUUAUUGAAUUAAUUAGGUACUUAGUUAAAAAGGAAUCAAACACAUGAUACGCGCUAGUGGUAAUAUUAUAUAGCUUCAGUGGGGGUCAGGCAAAUAUCAACAUUAUCAGCCUUGGGAUAACAAUGUAAAGGAGAGUAUUCAAUAGUACAUGUUGAACACGUUACUCGCGAUAUUUGCAACGUUUCCCGCCAUUAAGGAUCUCCUACACGCCAAACUGUUAUUCGAGGUGCCCGAGCCGGUGUCCGCACCACCGGUCUUAGUAUCAGAAACUGUAUUCAGGGAAGUUAAGAUGUCGAAACCAAAUAGUGCCAUCCAGGAGACCCUAGAAGACAGAGAUCCAAAUAAUCUUAACAAACAUGUACAGAUAGUAUGGGACGACGUGAUCGGCGAGCCAGAGGGCGCCCGCAGCCCGGAGUGUGCCUGGAGCCUCAGCCACGCCUGCUUCCGACACUCCCGGAACUGGUGCUACACCUUCUUAUCAGUCCUGAUA